rnacentral:rRNA from 1 species
GACGAACGCUGGCGGCAUGCCUAAUACAUGCAAGUCGAGCGAACAGAUGAAGUGCUUGCACUUCUGACGUUAGCGGCGAACGGGUGAGUAACACGUAAGGAAUCUACCUAUAAGCGGGGGAUAACAUUCGGAAACGGGUGCUAAUACCGCAUAAUAUCUUCUUCCGCAUGGAAGAAGAUUGAAAGACGGCUCUGCUGUCACUUAUAGAUGACCUUGCGGUGCAUUAGUUAGUUGGUGGGGUAAUGGCCUACCAAGACGAUGAUGCACAGCCGACCUGAGAGGGUGAUCGGGCCCAUUGGGACUGAGACACGGCCCAAACUCCUACGGGAGGCAGCAGUAGGGAAUCUUCCGCAAUGGGCGAAAGCCUGACGGAGCAAUGCCGCGUGAGUGAAGAAGGCCUUCGGGUCGUAAAACUCUGUUAUAAGAGAAGAGCAAAUUGUAGAGUAACUGCUACAGUCUUGACGGUAUCUUAUCAGAAAGCCACGGCUAACUACGUGCCAGCAGCCGCGGUAA